AAGUCGAACGGCAGCACGGGAGCAAUCCUGGUGGCGAGUGGCGAACGGGUGAGUAAUACAUCGGAACGUGCCCAAUCGUGGGGGAUAACGCAGCGAAAGCUGUGCUAAUACCGCAUGAGAUCUACGGAUGAAAGCAGGGGACCGCAAGGCCUUGCGCGAAUGGAGCGGCCGAUGGCAGAUUAGGUAGUUGGUGAGGUAAAGGCUCACCAAGCCUGCGAUCUGUAGCUGGUCUGAGAGGACGACCAGCCACACUGGGACUGAGACACGGCCCAGACUCCUACGGGAGGCAGCAGUGGGGAAUUUUGGACAAUGGGCGCAAGCCUGAUCCAGCCAUGCCGCGUGCAGGAUGAAGGCCUUCGGGUUGUAAACUGCUUUUGUACGGAACGAAAAGGCUUUCUCUAAUAAAGAGGGCUCAUGACGGUACCGUAAGAAUAAGCACCGGCUAACUACGUGCCAGCAGCCGCGGUAAUACGUAGGGUGCAAGCGUUAAUCGGAAUUACUGGGCGUAAAGCGUGCGCAGGCGGUGAUGUAAGACAGUUGUGAAAUCCCCGGGCUCAACCUGGGAACUGCAUCUGUGACUGCAUUGCUGGAGUGCGGCAGAGGGGGAUGGAAUUCCGCGUGUAGCAGUGAAAUGCGUAGAUAUGCGGAGGAACACCGAUGGCGAAGGCAAUCCCCUGGGCCUGCACUGACGCUCAUGCACGAAAGCGUGGGGAGCAAACAGGAUUAGAUACCCUGGUAGUCCACGCCCUAAACGAUGUCAACUGGUUGUUGGGUCUUCACUGACUCAGUAACGAAGCUAACGCGUGAAGUUGACCGCCUGGGGAGUACGGCCGCA
rnacentral:rRNA from 1 species